rnacentral:siRNA from 1 species
AAAUUAAUAUGACGUUGUGAAAUC